rnacentral:rRNA from 1 species
UCUACGGGAGGCAGCAGUAGGGAAUUUUGCGCAAUGGGCGAAAGCCUGACGCAGCAACACCGCGUGAAUGUUAAGCCCUUCGGGGUGUAAAGUUCUGUCAAUAGGGACGAAUUUUGACUGUACCUAUAAAGGAAUCACCGGCUAACGCCGUGCCAGCAGCCGCGGUAAUACGGGGGGUGAAAGCGUUGUCCGGAAUCAUUGGGCGUAAAGCGUACGUGGGCGGCUAGGUAAGUCUGAUGUUAAAGCCCGGGGCUCAACUCCGGUUCGGCAUUGGAUACUAGUUCGCUAGAAUGUGGUAGAGGUAAAGAGAAUGCCUGGUGUAGCGGUGAAAUGCGUAGAUAUCAGGAGGAAUAUCGGUGGCGAAGGCGCUUUACUGGACCAUUAUUGACGCUGAGGAACGAAAGCCAGGGGAGCAAACAGGAUUAGAUACCCCAGUAGUC